rnacentral:rRNA from 1 species
GUGCUGGUUAUCUAGGACAGAGAUUAAUAUAGUUGGGUGAUUAGUAGUCGACUGAGAUUAAAAUUGUCUUUGAUUAGAUAAGUCAUUUACUUGGCUUGAUGAAAUUUGGGAAUAUCUUGUUUAGAAUGGGUCAUUUAUUUAAAUUAGUUGUAUAAAAAUGAAAGAAUAAGUAGGAUUAUUAUAUAGGUGGAAUAGUUGUUUUUUUUUUCGGUGAUUGCUUUCAACUGUUUAUUAAAAACAUUGCUAUUUGUUUAAGAAAUAAAUAGUAUGACCUGCCCAAUGAACAGAUAUAUGAAUGGCCGCAGCUUUUCGCUGUGCUAAGGUAGCAUAAUAUAUAGUUUUUUAAUUGGGGACUUGUGAAUGGUUUAAUGAAGGGUGUCUAAGAUGAUAAUUAUUUCUGAAAUUAAUUUAGUGGUAAAGAAUCCAUUAUUUAAAUAUAGGACGGAAAGACCCCAAGAGCUUUACGAUAUUUUGUUUUAUUUGGGGUAAAUGUUGAUUAUUCAUUUAUUUUAAGAUCCUAAAGGAUAAAGGGUAAAGUUACCUUGGGGAUAACUGAGUAAAGAAUGGGGAGAGGUCAAAUUGAUCCAUUUGUUACUACCUCGAUGUUGGCUUGUUGGACCUUUUCGGUGUAGAGGCUGAAUAAAGGAAGUCUGUUCGACUUUAAUCU